rnacentral:rRNA from 1 species
GACGAACGCUGGCGGCGUGCCUAACACAUGCAAGUCGAGCGGAGGUACAAUGAGAGCAAUCGAGAUGUACUUUAGCGGCGGACGGGUGAGUAACGCGUGAGCAACCUGCCUAUCACAGGGGGAUAAGGCGGCGAAAGCCGCUCUAAUACCGCAUGAGACCCUCAAAGCGAUGCAAUGGGGGUGAAAGGAGCGAUCCGGUGAGAGAUGGGCUCGCGUCCGAUUAGGUAGUUGGUAGGGUAAGGGCCUACCAAGCCAAUGAUCGGUAGCCGGCCUGAGAGGGUGAACGGCCACAUUGGAACUGAGAGACGGUCCAAAACUCCUACGGGAGGCAGCAGUGGGGAAUAUUGGGCAAUGGGCGGAAGCCCUGACCCAGCAACGCCGCGUGAGGGAAGAAGGUUUUCGGAUUGUAAACCUCUGUUCUUGGGGAAGAGGAGGAGACGGUACCCAAGGAGGAAGCCCGGACUAACUACGUG